UCUGACUGACUGUGUAUUAACCAGUUUUKGGGGGAUUCCACCACCCUCGGCUAMCUACAUUUAGGUAAGAUGUCUACCCACAACUCUGCUUGGAGAGUACGUCAAAGCAUGUAUCAAAUACAUCCCAACACACCCCUCAAGUGGCAUGUAUUUUGACUAAGUGUGGACGUAGUAGGGCAUGACUUAAAYGUUUAUGAGUAGAUUGAGUGAGCCUAAUGCAGUGCUUAUGCUGAAUUUUUGUCAUUGGGCAGAUGGGACAAAUGAUUCCUGAUGUAAAGCAGAGUUGGCCUGAGAUCUAUUUUACCUUACAGCUAUAAAUACCGUACUUGCCAAGUYGCAUUCAUUUCCAAGAACGGUCACUCAGUUUGCAAUUUUGAGGUUACACUUGUGAUGAAGGAUUUUGCGGUGUGUUUUGUGGUUGGUCUSCUGCAUUUCCAGCAUCAGCUGCUCAUGAGAAGCCAAUCACCUAUUGCCCCAGCCGUGCACACAAAUGGACACUUACCAGUGUCGAGGGAAAGUGAUGAAGAAAUGGUUGUAUCUCACAGAGAAUGAGAGAAGUUUCACAGAAAAUGGCUGAAGAAAGGUCAAAUUUGUGAGUAUUGUAUGUUGUGAAAUGUACAUUGUGCAAUUAAUGAAAAACUUAUGAAAUUAAGUUUC
rnacentral:lncRNA from 1 species